rnacentral:rRNA from 1 species
UACAGAGGGUGCGAGCGUUAAUCGGAAUUACUGGGCGUAAAGCGCACGUAGGAGGCGACGUAAGUCGGGUGUGAAAGCCCCGGGCUCAACCUGGGAAUUGCAUUCGAUACUGCAUUGCUGGAGUACGGAAGAGGCGGGCGGAAUUCCCGGUGUAGCGGUGAAAUGCGUAGAUAUCGGGAGGAACAUCAGUGGCGAAGGCAGCCCUCUGGUCCAGUACUGACACUCAAGCGCGAAAGCGUGGGGAGCAAACAGG